rnacentral:misc_RNA from 1 species
GCAUUCUCGUCCGAAAUAUACGGGAUCUCAACGGAUCCAUCCACCUUAAGCAAAGAUUUUCCAUCAGAAUCCUUAGCUUCACCUUCCCAAGAAAGGGAGACAUUAAGCUCAUACCCUGGAAUGUUUUUACCCUUUCGAACAUUGACGUAGGCCUCGCCAUCGACCUUCUCGAUCUUCUUGAUCUUGAUGAAAAGAUUUCCUUCGCCAUCAAGGAUAACGAGAUUAGAGAGAAGAUUGGAGAGGAGGCUCCGCGACCAUUCCAAGCAAUCGGUCUCGGCCCAAUGCCAAUUGUGGACAUUGGCGCCGUCUGGUCUAUCCUCUACGAUCCAGCGCUUGUCCCCUUCUCCGUACUUGGCCAUGAACGAGAGGAAUUUAGAAAUUAAAAGUGGUAGAUUAAGAGAUAAAGAUUGAAGCUUUGGAUCGAGAGAGUUGAGAACAGAUUGCGAGGGGGAAGAGGGGAAAGGGAAAUAAAAA